GACGAACGCUGGCGGCGUGCUUAACACAUGCAAGUCGAACGGAAAGGCCCUGCUUUUGUGGGGUGCUCGAGUGGCGAACGGGUGAGUAACACGUGAGUAACCUGCCCUUGACUUUGGGAUAACUUCAGGAAACUGGGGCUAAUACCGGAUAGGAGCUCCUGCUGCAUGGUGGGGGUUGGAAAGUUUCGGCGGUUGGGGAUGGACUCGCGGCUUAUCAGCUUGUUGGUGGGGUAGUGGCUUACCAAGGCUUUGACGGGUAGCCGGCCUGAGAGGGUGACCGGCCCACUUGGGACUGAGAUACGGCCCAGACUCCUACGGGAGGCAGCAGUGGGGAAUAUUGCACAAUGGGCGGAAGCCUGAUGCAGCAACGCCGCGUGCGGGAUGACGGCCUUCGGGUUGUAAACCGCUUUCGCCUGUGACGAAGCGUGAGUGACGGUAAUGGGUAAAGAAGCACCGGCUAACUACGUG
rnacentral:rRNA from 1 species